GGGGAUGUAGCUCAGUGGUAGAGUGCUUGCUUAGCAUGAAUUAGGGCCAGGAUUCCAUCCCCA
rnacentral:tRNA from 1 species